rnacentral:rRNA from 1 species
CUAGCCGUAAACGAUGGGUACUAGGUGUAGGAGGUUUCGAUACCUUCUGUGCCGCAGUUAACGCAAUAAGUACCCCGCCUGGGGAGUACGUGCGCAAGCAUGAAACUCAAAGGAAUUGAC